rnacentral:rRNA from 1 species
AGUGAACGCUGGCGGUAGGCCUAACACAUGCAAGUCGAACGGCAGCACAGUAAGAGCUUGCUCUUACGGGUGGCGAGUGGCGGACGGGUGAGGAAUACAUCGGAAUCUACUUUUUCGUGGGGGAUAACGUAGGGAAACUUACGCUAAUACCGCAUACGACCUACGGGUGAAAGCAGGGGAUCUUCGGACCUUGCGCGAUUGAAUGAGCCGAUGUCGGAUUAGCUAGUUGGCGGGGUAAAGGCCCACCAAGGCGACGAUCCGUAGCUGGUCUGAGAGGAUGAUCAGCCACACGGGAACUGAGACACGGUCCAGACUCCUACGGGAGGCAGCAGUGGGGAAUAUUGGGCAAUGGGCGCAAGCAUGAUCCAGCCAUACCGCGUGGGUGAAGAAGGCCUUCGGGUUGUAAAGCCCUUUUGUUGGGAAAGAAAAGCAGCAGGUUAAUACCCCGCUGUUCUGACGGUACCCAAAGAAUAAGCACCGGCUAACUUCGUG